GAAUUGAAAAGCGUAUGUACAGCGCGCGUCUUCCUCUGCUUGUAAACAGAAAGUUUUGCGCUUCCAACACGUCAUCUUAUACGGUAGGUGGCGGUAAUACUCCUAAGCGGUGAGCAGCCGGUAACAAGAAGUAGUCGAAGAAGAACGUCCUCAUCUCAUUUCUCGCGCAUGCGCCCACAAGGAAGUAACGGAAUAGUCGAAUAAAGUCGUUAUUUAUGUGUUUUUU